CCUUCAAGGAUCCCCCAGUCUGGUGUGAAGCAGUCACCUGAACAGUUAGGAUACAAUUUGGCCUGAUGGAGGUGCCCACAAGGGAUAUAGGAAAGGGGGAACCAGGUUCUGCUCAGGCGGGGUCAGAAAGCGCUUUCUGGGAGACAUGAGUCUAAGGGUCCUGAAGGGUAACUAGGAGUUAGCAAAGGCAGGGUUGGUGAGGGCAUGCUGGGCAGAGGGGCAGCAGGAGCCAGCUGGUGGAGGUGAGAAGCGACAGGCAGUUUGGUGUUGCUGGAGCCUUGAUGAGAGGCAGUGGGCACCAGCAGAGGCUGGAGAGGGGCUCAAGGGCCUAUGACAGAGGUUUGAUGUCUUUACCUGGGGGUGGGAGUGGGACUGGGGCAGAUUUGGGUGGUUAAGCAGAGAAUUGACAUGGUUAGAUUUUAGCUAAAUAGCUCUGCCUGCUGUGUGGACUGUGGGUGGGGGCAGAAUCUGUCUUUUUUUGGGGGGGGGCGUGUUGUGCUGCGUGGCUUGCAGGAUCUUAGUUCCCCGAACUGGGCCCUUGGCAGUAAAAACAUGGAGUCCUAACCACUGGACUGCCAAGGAAUUCCCAGAAUCUCUUUUCACAAGAUCUCUUGGGAUUGGGCUGAAUGCCCAGCCCAGGGCCUGCAGGUGUACAAGAUGGCCUUGGGAAUAAUCAUCCCAGCCCAGUCUUAGUGAGUGCUGCCACAAGCCGGGCAGUGUUCUAUGUGCUCCAAGUAGAGUAACUACUUCACCCUCCCGAGAACCCUGUGAUGAGGAUGGUAUUCUUAUCACCCCCCACUAUGCCCACGAGGUGACUGGGCACAGAGAGGUUAACUUAUGUGUCCCAGCUGCACAUUCCAGUGCAGGCUGCCUGGCUCCAGGAUCAGCCUGUAAUCACUCUCUAUCUUGCCUCCUCCGGGUCCACUGUCCUCUGGAAGGCUCUCACAGAGGCAGAAUAUUGUAUUGGCAUCCUGCUUCAAGUUUAUGAAAUCUUUCACAUGAAUGACCUCAUUCCACCAUGCAACAGUAGCUUCUGUGAGUAGGUAUUAUUACUCAUAGCUAAGAAAACCAACCAAAGUGAUUUGUUAAAGGUUAGGAUUUAGGUGGCAGAGACCCAGACGUGUGUCUUCUGACCCCGAGUCUAGUGUCGGGUCUCACGUUCAUUGUCAGUUGAUGCCGCGGUCAGCCUCCCGGUCAGCCUCCCGGUCAACAUGCCAUGUGGUUCAAAGGCCAGGGCAUUUUCCACUCCUACCCAACUGUCUCCUGUCGAGGAAAAUGUUUUUCUGAACUGGGUAAGAGAGUCAUAGAGAAGUGUGUUGCUGGCAUCAAUUCCCUCUGAUUGGGCAAUAGCUUCCGCCAUCUGGACCAGGUGACGUCAGCCGUCUGGAUUUCCGCCAGUGUUCUCCCACCCAGGAAACUGACUUCCGGCCAGGCUCCCAGCCGUCUCUGGCCUCCUCGAAAGGCAGACCUUUCAGUUUGCAAGAGACGACGUUACUGCCAGGUGUGUGACCUGAUCCUACAGAGCACAGAAAGCACGGUCUCCAGUCCCAGUCGGGAUCAGGGACAUCAACUCACUGCACACAAGCAGAACUCGUUCAUUUGGCACAUCCUGAAUGAGGCCAAAAGCUGUGCUCCAGAUGGGCAAGAGCCUGAAUGAGAAGCACCUCAAGAAAAUCGCCUGCCUGGAGCCUCAUUCUGAGUAGUUGAAUGUUCUAUCCUCUGCGGUGGGUUGGCCUGGGAGCAGGGGAGUCUUCGGGGCUGGGAGAGAAUGGGAGAGGUGGCCUUGUUCGUUAGACUCUUCUUCUGACACAUAAACAGCCAAUUGGAGGAGUUGUCCCAACCCCGUGGUUCUGAGCUCUGAAGUGGUUUUUACUUAUAAUAGCAGCAAUGCCCAGGCUCAUGCCAGUGGGAAAAUAGCCUGGAAUCUAGGAGCCUCAGAUUUUUUUUUUCAGAUUCCCUCAAAUGUCUCAUAUCCUUUUUAUGAGUUUACUUUUUCUGAAUCAGGAUUAAAAUAAAGUCCAUACAUUAUAUUGGUCGA